UAGGGGGAAAUUAAUAAAUAAAUAAAUAUAAAAAAAAUUUUUAAUAUAAAUAUUUAAUGGGGGUUAAAGUAUUUUAUAGAAAAAAAUUAAAAAAUUUAUAGUUAAAUAGUAUUGUGAAAGAAAUUUGAAAAAUUUUGAAAUAGAAAUUUAUAUAAAAGUAAAUUUUAUUUAUUGUAUCUUGGGUAUCAAAGUUUAUUAAAAUAUAAUUUUGAAAAAAAUUAUUUCGAAUUUAAAAGAGUUAAUUAAUUAAAAAAUUUAAUAUUAUAUAAUUAUUUUAAAUAAUUAAUUAGAAAUGAAAAGUUAAUCGUUUUUAAAUAUAUCUAAUUUUUUUGGAAAAAAAUUUAAUUUUAAAUUAAUUUAAUUUAAUAAUUAAUUAAUUAAUUAUUAUUUAUUUUAAUUAAAUAUUUUAAGGGAUAAGCUUUAAAUUAAAUUGUUAUAAAUUAUUAUUAAUAAAAUUGAAAAUUUUAAAAUUUAUAUUUUUUAUAAAUUAUAAUUUAUUAUAAAAAAUUUCAUUUAAUUAAAAUUUAAUAUUUAUUUAAUUUUUUACAAAAAUAUCAUUUUUAAUAUAAAAAAAUUAGAAAUUAUGAUAAAAUUAGUAUAUAAUUAAUAAAUUUUUAAUAAAUUAUUAAAAUUAAUAUAAAAGAAUUCGGCAAAAAUUUAUAUUCACUUGUUUAUCAAAAACAUGUCUUUUUGAUUAUAAUUUAAAGUCUAAUCUGCCCACUGAAAUUUUUAAAGGGCUGCAGUAUAUUGACUGUACAAAGGUAGCAUAAUAAUUAGUCUUUUAAUUGAAGACUUGUAUGAAUGAUUUAAUGAGAUAUAAACUGUUUCUUUAUUAAUGAUAGAAUUUAAUUUUUUAGUUAAAAAGCUAAGAUUUUUUUAAAAGACGAGAAGACCCUAUAGAGUUUAAUUUUUUAAUUUUUAUAAUUAUUUUAUAAAAUUUAUAAUUUAUAAAAAUUAAAAAAUUUUGUUGGGGUGAUGGAAAAAUUUAAUUAACUUUUUUUAAAAAUUUAACAUUAAUAUAUGAUUUUUUGAUCCAUAAUUUAUGAUUAAAAGAAUAAAUUACCUUAGGGAUAACAGCGUAAUUUUUUUUUUUAGUUCAAAUAAAAAUUAAAGUUUGCGACCUCGAUGUUGGAUUAAGAUAAAAUUUAAAUGCAAAAGUUUAAAGUUUUGAUCUGUUCGAUCAUUAAAAUCUUACAUGAUCUGAGUUCAAACCGGUGUGAGCCAGGUUGGUUUCUAUCUUUAGAAAAAUAAAAUAGUUUAGUACGAAAGGAUCAAUUAUUUUAAAUAAUUUAAUUUUAUAGAAUAUUAUUAAUAUUAUUUUA
rnacentral:rRNA from 1 species